rnacentral:rRNA from 1 species
AGUGAGACUGCCGGUGACAAACCGGGAGGAAGGUGGGGGAUGACGUCAAGUCCUCAUGGCCCUUAUGGGUAGGGCUUCACACGUCAUACAAUGGUCGGUACAGAGGGUUGCCAAGCCGCGAGGUGGAGCCAAUCCCUUAAAGCCGAUCGUAGUCCGGAUCGUAGUCUGCAACUCGACUACGUGAAGUCGGAAUCGCUAGUAAUCGCAGAUCAGCAUGCUGCGGUGAAUACGUUCCCGGGUCUU